CCAAGGAGUCUGACAUGUGUG
rnacentral:snRNA from 1 species